CCCCCGUGUGCCCUCUGAACGGAGAGCUGUAUUUGCCUGCUGAACGCACAAUACCACAAUCAUGACGACAGAGACCAGUGUUUGCUUCAGAGAACCGACAGCUCCCACCCAUCUGUCACCUAGCAGGGCCGAGCCAGCUGCUUCUGUCGUCGUCCCCGAGGGCUCGAUGUUGGCUGUGUAAACACGGCAGCCCUUCCCACAACUCAAACACGCUCCGCCCUGCGAGACACGCGGGAGAACACGCCGAGCCCCGCGUGUUCCAGGCCCUGCGUGGCCUCCCUGGGGGACCCUGGGACCCUUCACUGAGCAUCUCUCGGACGACGCCUCACGCUCGAGUCCAUGCCGCGUUCAAUACCAGACGUAACCGGAACUACAUGGUAACCGCUCUUCCUGUUCCCGCCCCGGCUCUUCUGGGAUGUGGCAGCGCUGAGCCGGACAGGGAAGUCCAGGAGGCAUCUCUGCCCCUUGUGAAUCUGGGGUGCCAAACCAUAUAUGGAGGAAACAUAUUGCCCGGCUCUCUCUGGCGUCUUCCAAGAUUCAGUGAUAGAUUGGAAAAGGGGUAACUCACUUCCUCUUCCGGAAACAUGUAAGCCCUAGUCGCUUGCCAGGCCAAAAAGAUCCCCACAAUUAUGUAGCAAAAAGUCUUCUGAC